AACGAACGCUGGCGGCAUGCCUAACACAUGCAAGUCGAACGCGACCUUCGGGUCUAGUGGCGCACGGGUGCGUAACGCGUGGGAACCUGCCCUUAGGUUCGGAAUAACUCCCCGAAAGGGGUGCUAAUACCGGAUAAUGUCUUCGGACCAAAGAUUUAUCGCCUUUGGAUGGGCCCGCGUUGGAUUAGCUAGUUGGUAGGGUAAAAGCCUACCAAGGCGACGAUCCAUAGCUGGUCUGAGAGGAUGAUCAGCCACACUGGGACUGAGACACGGCCCAGACUCCUACGGGAGGCAGCAGUGGGGAAUAUUGGACAAUGGGCGAAAGCCCGAUCCAGCAAUGCCGCGUGAGUGAUGAAGGCCUUAGGGUUGUAAAGCUCUUUUACCCGGGAUGAUAAUGACAGUACCGGGAGAAUAAGCUCCGGCUAACUCCGUG
rnacentral:rRNA from 1 species